GGGAGUGUAGCUCAGUGGGAGAGCACUAGCCUAGCAUGGGCAAAGGCUUCUAACGCCUUUAAUCCCA
rnacentral:tRNA from 1 species